UCAAAGUCAACUGGUUGCCGCCUCCGGCGGGAUCCCAGAACGGAUUCCUGACGGGAUAUAAAAUCCGCCACCGGAAAACCGCCCGGCGAGGGGAGAUGGAAACCUUGGAACCCAACAACCUCUGGUACCUGUUCACGGGGUUGGAAAAGGGCAGCCAGUACAGCUUCCAGGUGUCGGCCAUGACGGUGAACGGGACGGGCCCGGCCUCGGAAUGGGUGACGGCGGAGACGCCGGAGAACGACCUGGAUGAAUCCCAAGUGCCCGACCAACCCAGUUCCCUCCACGUCCGGCCCUUGGCCACCGGCAUCGUGAUGACCUGGACGCC